AUUGAACGCUGGCGGCAUGCCUUACACAUGCAAGUCGAACGGUAACGGGCCUUCGGGUGCCGACGAGUGGCGAACGGGUGAGUAAUGUAUCGGAACGUACCUUUCAGUGGGGGAUAACGUAGCGAGAGUUACGCUAAUACCGCAUAUUCUGUGAGCAGGAAAGCAGGGGAUCGCACGACCUUGCGCUGAUUGAGCGGCCGAUAUCAGAUUAGCUAGUUGGUGAGGUAAAGGCGCAGCAGGGCGACGAUCUGUAGCGGGUCUGAGAGGAUGAUCCGCCACACUGGAACUGAGACACGGUCCAGACUCCUACGGGAGGCAGCAGUGGGGAAUUUUGGACAAUGGGGGCAACCCUGAUCCAGCCAUGCCGCGUGAGUGAAGAAGGCCUUCGGGUUGUAAAGCUCUUUCGGCCGGGAAGAAAUCGUAUCAGCUAAUACCUGGUGCGGAUGACGGUACCGGCAUAAGAAGCACCGGCUAACUACGUGCCAGCCGCCGCCGUAAUAC
rnacentral:rRNA from 1 species